CCCAUGUUAUAUAAAUGAAUAAAAAUGAGAAUAUUUUAUACAAUCCAUUACAAAUAUGACAAAAUACUUUAGAAAAUAUAAGGUAUAGAUACAACCCUUUUUGAAGCUUAACUAUGAGUUUCCCAAAUAUUAUCCAAAUCCCUAGAUGUAUUCUCCUUGCGCUCUUGAUUUCACUUCCAAAAUGUUAAGAAAAAUAGAAAAGAAAUAAAAGGAAAAAUGUAGAAAAGAAAAAAAGAAGAAGAAAAGAGAAGAAAACAG
rnacentral:lncRNA from 1 species